GAGGAGACUUCAGUUCAAAUCUGAACUAGAGACUUGGUUUUAGGCUCAGUGCCUGGUUCAUGGGCAAGAAACCUGUAUCUUUUAUCUGGGGUCCAGUCUUUCUGUGCCUCUUAGUUGCCUGGCCCAGACCUCUGAGGUCCCAUGCCUUGCAGCCUCACUAUGAAGUUUGGUUUGUAUCACUGAAUUGGGAUAAAAAUUUAAUCCUCUUGUUGGUUAUAUGGGGUCUGGAUACCUACCUGCCUUUAUGGGGUAGAAAGUCUCAGAGAGGUUAUGUACCUUGCCCAAGGCCACAGAGUUUAGAGCACCAAGGUCAAGAUUAGAACCCAGGCAUUCUGAUUCAAGAUCCAGUGCUCUUCCCAUGGCAACAGGUACUUCCCAUCUGCCACGUCCCAGAUCACGUGGUUCCACAAACACCAUCAAACCACAUUCUCUCUGAGCUCCUUCCUGGAGUGCAUUAGGCUAAAGGAGACCACUAAGGAGGUUAUAGGACCAUGCUCUGUAUAUCAAGACCAAUAAGCUUUUCUAAUGUUUCUGAUGACUACAAAGAAGCUGAAGAAGGAUGGAUGGACCUGGCCUGUUGAAGAGUGCUAGCCCUCUUGUGAUGAGGAUGAUGGUGAUGGCGAUGAGGAUAAUGAAGAUGGUUGCUGAGUUGUACCUAACGGAAUCUACUCGUGAUUUUAUCGGUCAUUGUUUACAUGUGUGAAGGUGAGCCUAACUGCUUGUUUUAUUUUUUCACCGUAUAUAGUUUCCAUAUAGUUCCAUAAUUGCUUUUUUUCCCCAUAUAGUUGAGUUAGUUUUUAGUUGU